GUGGAAACCGGCUGAGCAGCUGUAAAAAGCAGUAGGCAUUUUCAGAGAGGCCCCUGUGAGGGGAGGCAGUCAGAGCCAAACCGUGAAGAGUUUUAAGACUUCAGGAAACAUUUGGCUCAUGUGUUCAAGCUUUUCUCUGCAACCAGUAGAGCUAAAAGAUGGUCACCUAAUCAAUUCACUUCAGGAGCUGGGACUUUAAGCAAGAUUACCAGAAGCACUGAUUUGCAAAAGCAAAAAUAGCAACUAUCACAAGAAUAAUGGGAGUUGGCAACAUUGAGCUCUACUUCUCCAGAGCCAUUCCUGCCCCUCUUCUAGGCAUGCCUGGAGCCGUCUGUAUGGGGUAGCUGGUGCAGUUGAAUAAGAAGGCCUUGGCCUGCUGAGACAGGCAGGCUGCUUCCAGCCCCUCUGUCUGUACAUUAUGGGGCUGGCUAUAGGAUGUGAGGACUUCCCUGACUUCAUGAAGGGAUAAGGAGUCUCAAAAGGUGUCAGGAAAUCCUACUCCUGACACUUUCUCACUCACCAUGCUCUCAUUGGAGGAGAGUGGGGUGACUACCGUGGAGGAAACUGAUGUAAUAGGGAACUGAUUAGGUUGAGCAAAAGUAGGAAGGCAUAGGCAUAAGUGAGCCAUAACCCAGUGACAGCAUACCAUACAAGGACGUCUUAACCAACCACCAUAAAGGGAAAUGGAGAUUCCACCUCCCACAGAAAAGUCCCUGAUAGAGAAUUCAGAAGAAAUAUAUAUAUAUAUAUAUAUAUAUAAAGAAAUGGUUGUUGUUUUAUUUAAAUUCCCAGAAACCCUGCCAGGAGGAACUUCUCAUCCCUUCUCCUCAUCCCCAUUUUUGGGGAGCAGGAAGGAAUAACAUAAUUAUUCAUAGAAAGUGGAAAAUAAACAGGAAGAACCUGAAGAGCUAACAGAAAACUACUACAGACCUGAAAUAAAAAUCUCUGCCUCAUACUAAACUGAAUGGUCAGCUGGCAAAUAGAUUGUCCUUUAACUUCCCAACUGAGGACUUUCUAUGCAUCCCUUCCUCCCAGUAUGAGGAUUCUGGAAGCUUUUAACAGUUCCCAGUUUUUUGCCUUUAAGACUGUUCCCAAACCAUGGGCUGCAGACAUAGAAACAAAGAGUGGCAGAAUCUGUCCUGAACACUUACUGUAGUUUUGAAGUAUGCUUGUGUUUUUAAGGCCCUGAUCCUGUGAAGACUUAUGCAUGUACUUAUUUUUAUGUAGUUGGGGUGAAAUCUUGACUCUCAUGGGAAUACUCACAGUGCCUGAUGUUGAGCAUGUGUGUAAAUCUUUGCAGGACUGGGCCUUAAUCUUUAUUGUAUUUACAAAUGACAGUGGGAAUGUCAAAAAAAAGAUGUGCAAUAUUAUUAAUGAGGGAUAAUUUUCUUCUAAUGGCUGCCAGCAGUGGGUGAAGUCCUGGUAUUUACUCUGUGCUACCCCAAUGACAUUUAUGUGUAAUGUAGGCUGUGUGUUGCAUUCACCCUUUCAAACAGAAACUUUGGCACAUGCAAAAAAGUUAAUGAAAGCUUCUAGAAGUGAUUAAAGUGUAACAUCUUUCUUUCACGUUUCCCAGCUGUUGCUAACAUAUCCUUAGUAUGGGCUGAAUUUGGUCAAUGAGUUGUGGGUGUUCUGAUGUAAAUAUAUUAUAUUUCUAUGUA